AAAUCAAACACAAACGCAAGAUCGUUACCAGUUGCGUGUUAACCAUAAAGGAGAUCGCCACGUUCGAAAAACUAUUUGUGUGAAGUGCCACUUUCUGAUCUCACUCGUGACUGCUGAUCUAGGGUCAGUUAACCGAAGCGGCCAAGCCAUCGUGCCGCUGGAUUGAGCAAGAAAGGAGGGAUUGCCGGCUAGGCAAGUGUGAUCGUUGAGCGAAGCUGAGGACGCGAGGAAGGGGACACUACCUGGAUCUGGAUUCUUCGAGGGACGUAAUGGCGCUGGAGUAGUUCCGCCAUGAGGAUUAAGAGAUCGGCCUAUAUUCUAUUUUCACAUUUUUGUGAAAUGGCGGGUGUGCGGCGUGCCAAGUGCGCUGCCUGGUCGUCCCGCACGAUGUCUAGCUGGUAUGCUGUACGGACCAGACCUGGUCGAGGCCGGGAAUGAACCAUCCGGAUGGUCAACCAAGCAUUGCGCCGAGGGAUACACACCUACACUGACAUACACUACAACACCUAGGAUUAGUACCGCCAAAUAGUGAGUAAGUUCGCCAUUUAGUUUUAAGUACGUCUGGGGGAAAAAGUUUAAUAAAAGCCAUG